CGCAGUAGUCUGGUGUUCUGAAUGUGACGAAGGACUUUGCGAAGAUUGUAAGGAACAUCACAGUAUUUCCAAGGAUGGUAAAAACCACGGAACAUAUUCAAUCACCAAGCAUAAAAAGUUACCGAGUGAAAUUCUGCAAACUGCACAAGUCUGUAAAAUACAUAAUGAAGAAUACAAGUUUUUUCGUACAAAACAUGAUUGUCCGUGCUGUAAGAAAUGUGUGAAAUCUCACAAAGACUGUAAAGCUUUAACCGACAUCAAUGAAAUCAUACAAUGAGGUCAAAACAUCGAAUGCCUUUCGUGAAAUCGAACAAACCCUGCACGAACGAAGUCGUUAGGAAUAUGAAAAUUCUCAGCACAAACAGAAAAGAUAAUUUAGAAUCGAUAGAAAACAAGAGAAGACAAAUUGAAGUAGAAAUAACACAAGCCAGGACAAAGGUAAAUAAUCACCUCGAUCAACUUCAGGAUGGUUUGAUAAAAGAAUUAAUGGCAGUUCAACAACAAGAAAGUAGUAAAAUACAAAAUAUUUUGACUUUUCUCGACAGUAAAGAAAAAGAGAUCACUGAAUUGCAGGUAUUCUUUGAUAAUAUUAAACAGAAAGCGUCGGAUCUUCAAGCAUUUUUAACCAUGAAAGAAAUUGAAAAGGGUUUGGCAGAUGAAGAAAAAAAUAUUCAAUCGAUUGCCAAUAGUGGCAUCACCAAUAAAGUCAAUAUAGUAUGCCAAAUUAACCAGCUUCUGCAGCAAAUCACCUCCGAUGUUUCGAAGUUUGGAGAUAUCAAUGUCAGUUCUGAUUCAUGUCAGUUGUUUAUUCACAAACGGAAAGUCAGACAAGCCCAGAUUAUGUUAGCUGUUCCAACAAGAAAUAUCAGUAAUUUGAUUUUGACGUUACAGAAACAUAUCGAUACAAAGUUAUCAGAUGUCCAAGGUUGUUCUCUGCUACCUUAAGGUAGGAUGGUAUUCUC
rnacentral:lncRNA from 1 species